GACGAACGCUGGCGGCGUGCUUAACACAUGCAAGUCGAACGGAAAGGCCCUGCUUUUGUGGGGUGCUCGAGUGGCGAACGGGUGAGUAACACGUGAGUAACCUGCCCUUGACUUUGGGAUAACUUCAGGAAACUGGGGCUAAUACCGGAUAGGAGCUCCUGCUGCAUGGUGGGGGUUGGAAAGUUUCGGCGGUUGGGGAUGGACUCGCGGCUUAUCAGCUUGUUGGUGGGGUAGUGGCUUACCAAGGCUUUGACGGGUAGCCGGCCUGUGAGGGUGACCGGCCACAUUGGGACUGAGAUACGGCCCAGACCCCUACGGGAGGCAGCAGUGGGGAAUAAUGCACAAUGGGCGGAAGCCUGAUGCAGCAACGCCGCGUGCGGGAUGACGGCCUUCGGGUUGUAAACCGCUUUCGCCUGUGACGAAGCGUGAGUGACGGUAAUGGGUAAAGAAGCACCGGCUAACUACGUG
rnacentral:rRNA from 1 species